GUUCAUCACAUGUGCAUUUGCAACACAUUGGCGGAGGCAAUACGAACUGCAUUUCUCGCUAGCUGGACAAAUCGGAAUGGCAAUGCAUCUUGGAGAACAAGACUCGAAUUGUGAAAGUCUGGUGGUUUUCGCCAAGUUUCACAGAACUUUGUUUUAUGUCAAGAUGGGCUAACACCAUGUCACCUGAUGCUGUCACUCUCUGAUGGGGUGCACUUCAGAGAACUGCGGAUAACCGGCAGCCACGUGGCGCGGGGUCAGCUCAGGAAUGUGGUACUCGGCAGUGCCACCCUUGACGGAGCAGAGUUCUACGAAGCCCUCUGACGUCGGCUCCGGACCUUUACACCUGUGUGUGUGUGCGGCACUGAAACCUGUGCAACACGUGUUUGUGAGCCCUCCUCCAAAAGGGCGGGUCAUCUACGGUGACGUCGAAUGAUGACGGGGGGAACAAGUGCUUAUAAGCAGCGUUUGCCGGCUGCUAGGGUGUGCUUGUCGUCAUGAGCUGAGUGCUCGUUGUCAUGCUCGAAAUGUACUAGUGUGCUGUAUGCGUCGUCUUGCGUGCUCCAUGUGGGAGUCACGCUAGACUGGCGAUGUAUAUCAUGUUUUAAAUAUAAAUCCUGCAAAUAAACCCUGCUCACCUAGCCCUGUCGUCCCAAGGUCCUCCCGACAACUACGACCGCUCCAAUCCCGAUAAUGCAUACAAAAGCAAAUAGAGCUAUUUGUAUCAACUGAUCGCAAGCUCAUUGGUAUUACGCCCGAACUUUGUCACAAGUGAGAUUCUCCAAACUAGAAAGUCAACCUCAACUGUCCUGACAUACUCUCAGCCUGCGCAUGCCUCAGUGUUGCGUUUCACUGCUUUAAGGGGUUUAUUUUGGUUUGGAUGUGGGUAACCUGCAUCUCAGUGUCAGCCAACACUUUGCUUCUUGAGCUCAAGCUCCUUCAAAGAGGCAGUGGCACUGUUCCUUUCCUGGUCAUUCCUCAAUGCAAUAGUCUUUCCUAUUCUUGUCCUGGCUUUGAUUAAGGCCAUUUCAAAUCUGCAGUUGCAGCACAUUCGAAAUGCGGAUCAAUGGUGAAUAUCUCAGCAACAGUGGGGACAAAUUAUUAGUGAUUGAGGACCUUAACCAAAAAAGUGUUAGUGGGUUUGAAGAUUAAUAUGCAGAAGACAAUGUUCAAGAAUUCACAUCGCCAGUCAGCCUUUAGAGUCUGUACAGGAGUAAUUUUACCUAGGUCAGUUGCUCGCAAGGGACCCUGAUCAUGAAAAGGAAAUUUACUUAAGAAUAAAAAUGGGUUGGAAUGCAUAUGGCAGACAUUACCGAAUCAUGGCUGGGAGCUUACCACUGUAAUUGAAAAGAAAAGUGUACAAUUCUUGCAUUCUACUAGUGCUAACAUAUGAGGCACACAUUAGAAUCGGGUAAAUACUGUAAUUAAAUGUUGUAAUAUAUGGUUCUUGCUUGAAAAGUUUCCUAGGGCAGGCAUAAAUGGGAGUUGUCGACACGCGAUCACAGGUGUUGAAUGCAUACAUUGUUUCCUAAGCAUUGCCGGGGUAGACUUGCUGCCACUAAAGGGGUCG